UGCCAGCCGCCGCGGUAAUACGGGGGGAGCGAGCGUUGUCCGGAGUCAUUGGGCGUAAAGGGCGCGUAGGCGGAAUGGUCAGUCAGAUGUGAAAUGUCCCGGCUUAACCGGGGAGUUGCAUUUGAAACUGCCAUGCUUGAGUGUCGUAGGGGAUGAUGGAAUUCCUGGUGUAGCGGUGAAAUGCGUAGAGAUCAGGAAGAACACCGGUGGCGAAGGCGGUCAUCUGGGCGAAUACUGACGCUGAUGCUCGAAAGUGUGGGGAGCAAACAGGAUUAGAUA
rnacentral:rRNA from 1 species